AUGGUGACAAGAAUGGGAGGGGUAGGGAUUAAGGCCCAUAUUUGUGUGAUGGGCAAAGAGGUGGCUUGUUUGGAAUUGGCCAUCAGUGCCGCACAAAGGAGUACAACCAUUAUCGGUCCUGAAAUGGGUCAUGGAGUGCCUGGAUACUUAAAGCAAUUAGUAUAUUAUAUAUGGAAAAAUUGGUUUUAAUUCUAUAAUAUAAAAGAUCCCUCUUAGAAUUAGAAUCAAAAGGAAUGAAAGUUCUUUAUGACUGCAAAUGUAAACCUUCUGUAACAAACUUGAAAACAACAAGCAAACAUACAUAAAUCAUUUCCACACAUCUUCUCUACAUACUUAGGCCUUCUGGUUUUGCACAUCUUUCUUAACCUCUUUUCAACAAGAC
rnacentral:lncRNA from 1 species